AUCCUGGCUCAGGAUGAACGCUAGCGACAGGCCUAACACAUGCAAGUCGAGGGGCAGCACAAGGAGCAAUCUGAGGUGGCGACCGGCGCACGGGUGAGUAACACGUAUGCAACCUGCCUGUAAGCGGGGAAUAACCCGUUGAAAGACGGACUAAUACCGCAUAAUACUAAAUUACUGCAUGGUAAUUUAUUUAAACAUUUAUGGCUUACAGAUGGGCAUGCGCAUGAUUAGCUAGUUGGAGAGGUAACGGCUCCCCAAGGCAACGAUCAUUAGGGGUUCUGAGAGGAAGGUCCCCCACACUGGUACUGAGACACGGACCAGACUCCUACGGGAGGCAGCAGUGAGGAAUAUUGGUCAAUGGACGAGAGUCUGAACCAGCCAAGUCGCGUGCAGGAAAAGAAUGUCCUAUGGAUUGUAAACUGCUUUUGCAGGGGAAUAAAGUGAGCCACGUGUGGUUUUUUGUAUGUACUCUGCGAAUAAGGAUCGGCUAACUCCGUGCCAGCCGCGGC
rnacentral:rRNA from 1 species